rnacentral:tRNA from 1 species
AGUGGAAAAAAGACGUUAAAUUGCAAAUUUAAAGAUGUAUGUAUUACUAAAGCUU